AGAAGCAGAACUCGAUGGUUGAGUGUCUUCCUUUUAAGAAGAAAGUCAUUGGUUCAAUUCCAUGUGCUUCUC
rnacentral:tRNA from 2 species